CACGUAGGGACCAAGCGUUGUCCGGAUUUAUUGGGCGUAAAGCGCUCGUAGGCGGUUCGCUAAGUUGGAUGUGAAAACUCUGGGCUCAACCCAGAGCCUGCAUCCAAAACUGGCGGGCUAGAGUUCUGGAGGGGGUAGCGGAAUUCCUGGUGUAGCGGUGAAAUGCGUAGAUAUCAGGAGGAACACCGGUGGCGAAGGCGGCUACCUGGACAGAAACUGACGCUGAGGCGCGAAAGCUAGGGGAGCAAACAGG
rnacentral:rRNA from 1 species